rnacentral:rRNA from 1 species
UGUACACGCUGUGACUAGCAUAUCAAUAAGCGGAGGAAAAGAAACUAACAAGGAUUCCCCUAGUAACGGCGAGUGAAGCGGGAAGAGCUCAAAUUUGAAAUCUUAAAGGGUUUCCCUUUACGAAUUGUAGUUUAAAGAAGUGUUUUCUGUUGAGGUUUUGGUAAAAGUUCUUUGGAAUAGGACAUCAUAGAGGGUGAGAAUCCCGUAUUUGACCUUUACUUUCAACUUUGUGAUACACUUUCAAAGAGUCGGAUUGUUUGGGAAUGCAGUCCAAAAUGGGUGGUAAAUUUCAUCUAAAGCUAAAUAUUGGCGAGAGACCGAUAGCGAACAAGUACCGUGAGGGAAAGAUGAAAAGAACUUUGAAAAGAGAGUUAGACAGUACGUGAAAUUGUCAAAAGGGAAGCGUUUGACACCAGUGUUGUUUUUCUGAAAAUCAAUUAAAGAACUGUUUAUGCUAAGUUGUUUAGACUUUAUCAGCUAUCUGUUUAGUUUUGAGCUUUUCUUUAAUGCACUUUUCAGUUAACAAGUCAACAUCAAUUUCUUUUGCUGUAAAAAAGCUUGAGGAAGGUGGCUUGAGAUUCGUCUUAAGUGUUUAUAGCCUCUUGCCUAUGCAGUCGGAGAGAUUGAGGUCUGCAGCGUAGAUCCUUCGGGGCUAAAUGCAUUUGUGCUAAGUUAUAGCAUUUUAUAGACAACUUGUUGACUAUGAUUUGUCUUGUAGCUUACUCGCUUAUGUUAUUUUACCUACGCUUAGGAUGUUGACUGAUAUGUAGUCGUA